rnacentral:rRNA from 1 species
UCUGGUGGCGAUAGCGAAGAGGUCACACCCGUUCCCAUACCGAACACGGAAGUUAAGCUCUUUAGCGCCAAUGGUAGUUGGGACUUUGUCCCUGUGAGAGUAGGACGUUGCCAGGU